GCGCUCGUAGCUCAGCUGGAUAGAGUAUCAGGUUGCGGUCCUGAGGGCCGGAGGUUCGAAUCCUCUCGAGCGCG
rfam:Spirochaetes bacterium GWF1_41_5 gwf1_scaffold_3977, whole genome shotgun sequence.